CGGGUGAGUAAUGCGUGACCAACCUCGCCCCAUGCUCCAUAAUAGCUCUUGGAAACGGGUGGUAAUGCUGGAUGCUCCAACUUGACGCAUGUCUUGUUGGGAAAGUGUUUAGUGGCAUGGGAUGGGGUCGCGUCCUAUCAGCUUUGUAGGCGGGGUAAUGGCCCACCUAGGCUUCGACGGGNUUAGCCGGCCUGAGAGGGCGGACGGCCACAUUGGGACUGAGAUACGGGCCCAGACUCCUACGGGAGGCAGCAGCCC
rnacentral:rRNA from 1 species